AGCGCCGUCGCCGCUGCCCAGGGGGAAGGCAGGCUGCAGGGCCACCGGCCGGGCAUCGGCGCGGCGGAACUUGGGCGCGAAGCUGAGCAGGUCGCCGCCGCCCCGGGCGCCGCCGCACGACACGUACUCCAGAUACUAUUCUUCCAUGAAAAUGAUCCAGACUAGCUAUAGGAACCAGCCAAGAUGUUUUGCCACAAGAUCUAGGACAAGAGGACUUAACCAACAUCUCCCGUCUUGCAGAUCUCCUGGGGACCCUUCACCUGCUUCUGCUACUGCAAACAAUUGGACAUCCAUUUACCUUGACUCUUUUUUCAAGUGUGGAAACCUUUUGUGCACUGUGCAUCAGGCUGGACCUGGCCUGAAAGUAGACCUCUUGAUUGCCUCUGACCUUUCCAAUUUGCCAGUUUUCUGAAAGAAGGACCAAAGGAAUGCCAAGAACUCCCAGAUGAAGAGGACCUCUCUAGAUUUGUAACUGGGACUACAAACCAAGUCUUAACUUCAGGAGGAAGUUUCAACUAAUUAUCAGGAUAAGUCAAAACAGGCCUGUGACUGCCCUUUGAAUACUGAAGGUGUCAACAAGCUUCUGGCUUCCCCAGGUCAAGUAGAAGUUGGGUUCCUUCUUUGUUAUUCAAACACACACCCACACACACAGCCAGUUCACCCUCCCUAAUGAAAAACCUCAACAGAUGGAGAGCCUAGGCUCCCCAGCCUGCUGGCUGGGAAGAUGCACUUCACUCAAGGGUCAGUCAGCUGGUACAGGGAGAAGGGAGUAGCUGGUAUAGGUAAUCACUAUAUUUUAAAACUCUCUCCAGCAAGGUUAGCAUCCUCUGGGGCCUGGGAAACCAAUGUGGCUAAUGUGUCUCUGAUAGGGACUGGGCUUGGGGCUGUACCAAGGGGAAAGUCCUCUGCGUUCUCCCCCUCUCAUUUGAAAGCCUGUACAAAGAAAUGGCACAAACGGGUGGUUAGCAAUGAUUCCAUCAGAGGCGGAUUUUUCUCUGUCAGGUCCCUGGAUGAAGUUGAGGUCUGAAAGCCAGAAGGUGGAGUAUGUACUUAAUCACCCUUCCUUACUGCCUUUCCAGGGGCCAGGACUACCCUUCAGGCCUUUCCUCUUGCAACUCCCGCACCCCUCUGGCCAGCUCAAUUGGAUCUCCUCCCAUCACUCCGGGCUGGGGCCUGCGUCUCUCCCGGGAGCCAGGGCAAGCUCUGCCCGGAGCUCUUUUCCUCCCAUUUGGCAGUGGGCCGUCCCUGCUGCCUCACCUCUACCUUGCUUUAUUUCACGCUUGAUUGAAAGGAACCACUGCCACUCCCAUCCGUGGGCGGGGGCCUGAGGCCCGCACCCUUUUCUUCGGGCCUCGGGAAGAGUCCCCCACAGCCUCCAGGAUCCCCUCCCCCAAAGCGGCCUCUGCAGGAAAAAAGCCGAGCUGGUCUAGGCCUGAGUCGCAGAGGCAUUUCCUCCCCUCCACUGGGCAAACGAAGUGACCCUCCUAGAGACCCAGGCCCGAGCUAGGCGAGGCCCUUCCCCACCUCCAGUGGUCGGCCCGGCGCUGCCUUUGUGUGGCCUUCCCCGCCUCCGCGGAGCCCGUGGGGAAGCGGCGCACACAAUGGUGCAGCCGCUCCGGAAGGCCGGCGGCCCUGGGCGUCCUCAGCCCGCGCCCGGCGGCGAGGGCCAGCAGCCUCGAGGCCUUGGUGCGGCCCCUAUUGUCCCCUGCGCGCCCGCCACGGGGCAGGGCGGCGGUUUGCUUUCCUGCCCGCUCGCCCCUUCCCGCGGCAGGCCCUCCCCGGGAGCCGCAGCCUGAACCCCGGGAGCCGCAGCCGCCGCUCCCCUCCCCCCCUCUCCUUUCUCUGCUGCUGGCGGGGGGCGGGGGCACCGUUCCCCAUAGAGCAGCUAUUGUGACCUUCCCUCGGAGAGUGGGAACCCAGCCGAGUGUGCACCGCCGGCGGUGGCGGUGGCGGUGGCGGGGGAGGAGGCGACGGUGUGUGCAAACCUCGGGGACGGAGGGGAAAUAAAUAAAACUUUGCAACCUCGGGCGGUUGGGCCCUUCAGAGGGCGUUUGGUUGUGUUUAGACUCUGGUGCUUCCUAACACUAAUUGCAGGCUCAAAGGGAGCAGAAUUUAUGGCGAAGGCCAAGGCAGCUUGUUUAUAAUUUAUGAAGUUUUAAAUGGCUGUGUCGCAGGGCCCACUCUCGCCCUGGCCUGUGGCCGCGCGGAAAGCGCCCUCCCCAGACUCCCCACCCACGCGACUUAGUGUGGCCCGUCCGGGUCAUUCUCGGAAGCUUCGGGGAAGCUUUCUCCAAGAAUGAGAGGGAGCCGCAGAUUUGUCCCAAGAGAACUCCCCCACCCCACAGGAGAAGGUGCCUCCGGGAGGGAGCCCCUCACCCCGCACUUCUUCGGAGUCUUAGUGUGAGAGGAAGCUGAUGUCAGCCCGGCUAGACACCGUUUAGAGUCUAAUCCAUGAAACCCUAAGCCGCAGAUGACACUUGGGGCCUUGCAGACACCCGCAGACUCAGCAGAUACUCCUGCGGUAACAGACCGCGCUGGGAAACGCCUGGAGCCAUGAUGCAUUCUGUAUUUUUAUUACUUACGGUAGGAAGAAGAGAGGAGGGAAACCGGGCGGAAUCUAAACAGCUUGACAGUUCAUCUAUUUACUAUUUAGCCAGUUAAGAACGAUUGUUAUCCCUGCAAAGCAGUAAGCUCUUCUUUGAUUUCCCUAAUAAUUUAAAAAAUAAUUUCUUACAAGACAAUUAGAAAUCCUGCCUAUGGACGCAAAUUUCAUAGAAAACAAUUUUAAGCCUUGAAAGUGGGUAAACUAUCCCUGCGGUUGAAGUCACUUAUUCUUGCUGAUAACGUCUACAACAUGUAUAUUUUAAACCUGCUCAGAAAAGGUGAAAUUUAGCAAAAGGAUAAUCCCCUCCCGCCCCCAAUCUAACCUGCCAUUUUUUUUUAAACGGCACAAAAGAACAAGGAAACUAAAUGUUUUUUUAAGCCAUCAUUAUUUAGCGAAACACAAACAU